CCCUUAUUAAAGAAGGGCCCUUUGUGGAAAUCAGGAUUUGGAAAAUACAUCCUCACUCAGCCAUAAAGAAAUAAGGUCAGGAUCUGAUGGGUGAACCAAGUGAGGACAUUUCUGAGCCUGUUCCAGGUCCAUCUGGAAUAGAUUCAUCACAACGUGUGAGCAGCUCUGUUCAGUUUAGGAUACUCAUCUUCUCUUCUUCACAAAAUGUUGUCACGUAUCAUAACCUUCAUCUCAUCUGCAGAGAGAAACUGCCACUCAGAAUACACACAUAAAUGAAGGACGUAAAGACAUAAUGGGAUUGUGAAGAUUUUUAACUGGAACUUGGUCUUCAUUGCUGUAUCGUGUUCAAUAUCAAUUGUUAUUUAUUCAUGUAUUGAGCUAACUUCUGUUGUAAGAGCACUGUCAUUUUUGAUACAAUCUGCCAUGUCAAUAAAAAGUAAGCAAAAUAUCCAUAUUUAAAACUUCAUCGAAUAAAAUGACAAGCUUCCGGCAGGCGGCCUAAGCAAGUCGACUUAC